UCAAAUGACUCCCAGAUCCCAGGUCUGGUGCUUCGUGUUUCACAUGAAAUGAUGAACAAGGCACAUGAGUCUUCUACAGUAGCAGCAGCAGGAACAGCAAACAAGCCAGCAGAUCCAUCGGCUCAUGGGAAACUUGUUAAGCGCUAUGAGAUCCACAGCAGCACCUCCCAGUGUUCGAAUGAUCUGAUCCUGACUUUCAUGUUUUCAGUUAGCUUCUAUCGGAAUUGCACAUCCACCUGAUUCUGCAGCCACAGGUUGCAGAUGUCUUUGGUUCUGCGGGGCUUGCUGUUCUGCUGUGAGUCAUGUUCCCUCGCUUUGGCUCCUCACUUUCUCUCUCAGUGAAAGCCUGACACCCCAUCUUGACCCUGCCUGACUCAGAUCCUGUCAACCUGGGACUUGUUGACCUGCUGUAACUUUCCCCCUUCCUCUAAGUCUCUUCUGGCAAACCUGACUAGCACAUGUGGAGCUUUCUCAUACAAGCUCAUCAUAUAAAGUGUGAUGG